GCAUGCCUGGCUCCCUGUAUGCCUCCUGCAGGAAAACAACUGCUGGGGGUAUGAGGGUUGACUGAAAAGGACGGUGGAAGGGCAAAACCGUCU
rnacentral:pre_miRNA from 1 species